rnacentral:rRNA from 1 species
UACAGAGGUCUCAAGCGUUGUUCGGAUUCAUUGGGCGUAAAGGGCGCGUAGGCUGCGGGGCAAGUCGGGUGUGAAAUCUCAGAGCUCAACUCUGAAACUGCACUCGAUACUGCUUUGCUCGAGGACUGGAGAGGAGAUUGGAAUUCACGGUGUAGCAGUGAAAUGCGUAGAUAUCGUAAGGAAGACCAGUGGCGAAGGCGGGUCUCUGGACAGUUCCUGACGCUGAGGCACGAAGGUCAGGGGAGCAAACGGG